rnacentral:rRNA from 1 species
AGGAUCGACAGCAGAGUGAAGGCCAGAUUGAAGGUCUUGCUAGACGAGCUGAGAGGAGGUGCAUGGCCAUCGCCAGUUCGUGCCGUGAGGUGUCCUCUUAAGUGAGGUAACGAACGAGACCCCCACCCCAUGUUGCCAUCAGGAUCUAAAGGAUCGCUGGGCACUCUUGGGGGACCGCUGCCGACAAGGCUGAGGAAGGUGGGGGGCCACGGUAGGUCAGUAUGCCCCGAAUAUCCUGGGCCACACGCGGGCUGCAAUGGUAGGGACAGAGGGCUGCAACAUCGAGAGAUGGAGCCAAUCCCUAAACCCUACCUCAGUUGGGAUCGAGGGCUGCAACCCGCCCUCGUGAACAUGGAAUGCCUAGUAACCGCGCGUCAUCAUCGCGCAGUGAAUACGUCCCUGCUCCUU